CCUACGGGGGGCAGCAGUGGGGAAUAUUGGACAAUGGGGGCAACCCUGAUCCAGCCAUGCCGCGUGUGUGAAGAAGGCCCUCGGGUUGUAAAGCACUUUCAGUGAGGAAGAACGCCUGGUGGUUAAUACCCAUCAGGAAAGACAUCACUCACAGAAGAAGCACCGGCUAACUCCGUGCCAGCAGCCGCGGUAAUACGGAGGGUGCGAGCGUUAAUCGGAAUUACUGGGCGUAAAGCGCGCGUAGGUGGCUUGAUAAGCCGGUUGUGAAAGCCCCGGGCUCAACCUGGGAACGGCAUCCGGAACUGUCAAGCUAGAGUGCAGGAGAGGAAGGUAGAAUUCCCGGUGUAGCGGUGAAAUGCGUAGAGAUCGGGAGGAAUACCAGUGGCGAAGGCGGCCUUCUGGACUGACACUGACGCUGAGGUGCGUAAGCGUGGGUAGCAAACAGGAUUAGAUACCCUGGUAGUC
rnacentral:rRNA from 1 species